GAGCGAGCUUGCCUAGAUGAUUUUAGUGCUUGCACUAAAUGAAACUAGAUACAAGCGAGCGGCGGACGGGUGAGUAACACGUGGGUAACCUGCCCAAGAGACUGGGAUAACACCUGGAAACAGAUGCUAAUACCGGAUAACAACACUAGACGCAUGUCUAGAGUUUGAAAGAUGGUUCUGCUAUCACUCUUGGAUGGACCUGCGGUGCAUUAGCUAGUUGGUAAGGUAACGGCUUACCAAGGCAAUGAUGCAUAGCCGAGUUGAGAGACUGAUCGGCCACAUUGGGACUGAGACACGGCCCAAACUCCUACGGGAGGCAGCAGUAGGGAAUCUUCCACAAUGGACGAAAGUCUGAUGGAGCAACGCCGCGUGAGUGAAGAAGGGUUUCGGCUCGUAAAGCUCUGUUGGUAGUGAAGAAAGAUAGAGGUAGUAACUGGCCUUUAUUUGACGGUAAUUACUUAGAAAGUCACGGCUAACUACGUGCCAGCAGCCGCGGUAAUACGUAGGUGGCAAGCGUUGUCCGGAUUUAUUGGGCGUAAAGCGAGUGCAGGCGGUUCGAUAAGUCUGAUGUGAAAGCCUUCGGCUCAACCGGCGAAUUGCUUCAGAAACUGUUGGGCUUGGGUGCAGAGGAGGAGAGUGGAACUCCUUGUGUAGCGGUGGAAUGCGUUGCUCUGUGGGGGUUCGCCGGUGGCGGGGGCGGCUCUCUGGUCUGCGNCUGNCGCUGNGGCUCNNAAGCNUGGGUAGCCCUCAGGGGUAGAUACCNUGGUAGNNNANGCAGGGGGGGCCCCCCUGAUGGCUGUUGGGAGGUUUCCGCCUCUCAGUGCUGCAGCUAACGCAUUAAGCACUCCGCCUGGGGAGUACGACCGCAAGGUUGAAACUCAAAGGAAUUGACGGGGGCCCGCACAAGCGGUGGAGCAUGUGGUUUAAUUCGAAGCAACGCGAAGAACCUUACCAGGUCUUGACAUCCAGUGCAAACCUAAGAGAUUAGGUGUUCCCUUCGGGGACGCUGAGACAGGUGGUGCAUGGCUGUCGUCAGCUCGUGUCGUGAGAUGUUGGGUUAAGUCCCGCAACGAGCGCAACCCUUGUCAUUAGUUGCCAUCAUUAAGUUGGGCACUCUAAUGAGACUGCCGGUGACAAACCGGAGGAAGGUGGGGAUGACGUCAAGUCAUCAUGCCCCUUAUGACCUGGGCUACACACGUGCUACAAUGGACGGUACAACGAGAAGCGAACCUGCGAAGGCAAGCGGAUCUCUUAAAGCCGUUCUCAGUUCGGACUGUAGGCUGCAACUCGCCUACACGAAGCUGGAAUCGCUAGUAAUCG
rnacentral:rRNA from 1 species